rnacentral:rRNA from 1 species
UACGUAGGGUGCAAGCGUUGUCCGGAAUUAUUGGGCGUAAAGAGCGUGUAGGCGGCCCGAUUAGUCCGCUGUGAAGUCCAGGGCUCAACCCUGGAAUGCCGGUGGAUACGUGUCGGGCUAGAGUCCGGAAGGGGCGAGUGGAAUUCCUGGUGUAGCGGUGAAAUGCGCAGAUAUCAGGAGGAACACCGAUUGCGAAGGCAGCUCGCUGG